AUCCAUCUGAUGAGUUACAAAUAGAACGAAACGUGCGUCCUAGAU
rnacentral:hammerhead_ribozyme from 1 species